rnacentral:sRNA from 1 species
GGUGCCUACAUCCAUGAUGUACUCUGAGAACGACAUCAGCAACUCUAUCAAGAAUGGCAUCCUCUACCUGGAGGACCCUGUGAACCACGAAUGGUAUCCCCACUACUUUGUUCUGACCAGCAGCAAGAUCUACUACUCUGAGGAGACCAGCAGUGACCAGGGCAACGAGGAUGAGGAGGAGCCCAAGGAGGUCAGCAGCAGCACAGAGCUGCACUCCAAUGAGAAGUGGUUCCAUGGGAAGCUAGGGGCAGGGCGUGACGGGCGUCACAUCGCUGAGCGCCUGCUUACUGAGUACUGCAUCGAGACCGGAGCCCCUGACGGCUCCUUCCUCGUGCGAGAGAGUGAGACCUUCGUGGGCGACUACACGCUCUCUUUCUGGUAACACUUCCCAUGCAGAUGCAUAUGUUCAGUC